rnacentral:rRNA from 1 species
ACGGGUGAGUAACACGUGGGAACGUCCCCCUCGGUUCGGAAUAACUCAGGGAAACUUGAGCUAAUACCGGAUACGUCCGAGAGGAGAAAGAUUUAUCGCCGAGGGAUCGGCCCGCGUCUGAUUAGCUAGUUGGUGAGGUAAUGGCUCACCAAGGCGACGAUCAGUAGCUGGUCUGAGAGGAUGAUCAGCCACACUGGGACUGAGACACGGCCCAGACUCCUACGGGAGGCAGCAGUGGGGAAUAUUGGACAAUGGGCGCAAGCCUGAUCCAGCCAUGCCGCGUGAGUGAUGAAGGCCUUAGGGUUGUAAAGCUCUUUUGCCAGGGAAGAUAAUGACUGUACCUGGAGAAUAAGCCCCGGCUAACUUCGUGCCAGCAGCCGCGGUAAUACGAAGGGGGCUAGCGUUGUUCGGAAUCACUGGGCGUAAAGCGCACGUAGGCGGACUCUUAAGUCAGGGGUGAAAGCCUGAGGCUCAACCUCAGAACUGCCCUUGAUACUGGGAGUCUUGAGUAUGGUAGAGGUUGGUGGAACAGCAAGUGUAGAGGUGAAAUUCGUAGA